UCACCGUUGCUAGUUUGACGCACGUAAAAUUAAUGUUAAUUUGGAGAUACAGAUAGCGAUGUGCCGAAUGGAAGAAACUAAUUUUAUAUAGAAUAAACACAUUUGCUAACUUUUUUAUUAAAAUGAGGUGCAGUUUACCAUUAUAUUUUUAAGCAAGUACGAUAAUCAAAUCAUUAGUUCAGCCUCUGAGUCUAUAUUGUUUUUUCUAAACGUUUUUAACUACAUAAGUAAAAUGACACACAAUUCAACAACCGUUUUAAGUUCCACAACCAAACGAAGAGGUGGUCAGCAUACCAUUUGGACACGAGAAAAAAUUUACAAACUAAUUGAGCUCUAUCGUGCAUCUGAUUGUUUGUGGAAUCAUUAUUCGGAGUUAUACAAAAACAAAGGUUGUCGAAACAAAGCCAUAAAUCGCAUAUGCACAGCUCUCGAAAUUUCAAAAAUUGACUAUGGGAAAAAAGUUCACAACCUACGAAACCAGUUUAAUUCGGAAUUGAAAAAGAUUGAAGCACGCUUAGAAAAAUCGGGAGGAAAAAAAGUAGUUUCACCAAAAGAACGCCGCUGGGAGCACUUUGAGACGUUGAUGUUUUUGAAACCUUUUAUUGAACCUCGGCCUGGAUAUCAUCAACCAAAAAUCAAGCAGAAAAUGGUAAAAAGACAUAGGAUUUCAUCGUUCAACGAAAACACAGAACCUCAAAUAUCCUCUAUAGAAAACCAGCUUGAAGAUAUUAUACAGCUACAAAUAUUGAGUUGCAAGGACACAACUGACGCCAAUGCAAAAGAACAAGGAACUUGUGAAGUACAACGGAGUUCUUCAUUAAAAACUUACAGUAGUUCUCCAAGUUUCAUUCAGAGCGGAGGACAAAGUUGUGUGGCGCUAACGGAAUCUAGACAUUCAAGUAUUCGGGAUCAAUGGGAUGCAUUUGGUGAAUUAAUAGCAAAUGAGUUGCGAAAUUUAAACUCUUCAAUUUCGCGAAAAAAACUCAAACGUAAAAUUAUGCAAGUUAUGUUAGAAGUAGGUGAAGAAGAUGACAACGAGGAAAAAAGCGUCAAUUGAACUCGCCCAUAUCUAUUGAUUUCAUAAUAAAAAAAUUCAUGCAAUGAGUCUGCGUUAACAAAGAAAUAAGUUCACAGUAAAAAACACUAAACGAAUACAACAAAUUCUUUAACGAUAAUAAAAAAAUGAAUGAAAACUUCUGUCAGGAGCUUUAAAUGUGAAUCUCCUAUGAUGCUAUGUUUGGGCACCAUGACGUACGCUUCGGGAUACAUAGCAUGAAUGCAGAAAAUUAUGUUGAGCUCUCAGAUUCAGAACUGAUCAAUUUUGGAGAAGAAUAAUUUGGAGACAGUUGUUUCAACACGAUAACGCUGUCAUGCACACAGCCUUGUUCUCACAAGCUUUUUUCAGUUUAUGCAAAUGCGAAGCAAUAGAAGAAAUGUGAAGGACCUAAAAGUCUCUAUUGUUGAAGGAUGGGCUUAACUGAACCUUCGAAUGCUUAAAGUAUUAUAUCAAUUCUAGCACGGAUUUUCAAAGUUAAAAAUAAUGGGUGCUCAAGUAAAUAAUUGUAAGGAAAUAAAAACGUAGCUGUUUUUACGAUAACCGAGUUUUGAUUAUGUCUGUUUUGCUUGUUUCUUAUACCCUGAACCUAUGUAAAUGGUUAAAAAGGGUUUAAGUACCUAUAAAUAUAAUUUUAAUUGGGACUGUAAGUUAAUAUAAGUAAACGAUAAACCACUAAACUAUAAUACAAUGUAAUAGUGCUGACCAGGCUGCCCUUGGUCCCUGAAUCAUUGGCCGCGAUCGUCUCGGAAGCGUAACAUGCGACUUGCCGACUGGCGUCCAACUACCUGUAAAAACGAAAUCCACGGGAAGAAUGUUGUGAAUUGUGUGUGAAUUAAGGUACAAAAAUAAUUACGAAAAGUAUUUAUGCGUAAAACGAAAAACAAUCCGGGAGUAACAUUGCGCAAGUUAGAAGCAAAAGCAUAUAAAAAAAACAAAAAAAAUUAAAAAUAAAACGACGAUUCUCGCAGCCCUGAGCCAAAAUAGAGGCAUAAAAAUACAAGUUCCAUUAUCACCAAGCGGAGACGAUCUACUAAAACGAUAAGAAAUUUAAGUAAAAAUCUUAACUACUAUUUUCUGUAGCUGCCAAUAAUUAGAUUUGAUAUUUCUAAAAUCUCGACUUUUUUAUACGAUACAGUUGUUCGCCCUAUCCUUGCAUCUGGUCUCCGCAGUAUAACAAUAGCCAAUCGUAUUGAUCAGCUCAGAAGCAAUUGCUGCUUCUUGCCAUAUGAAGUAUAAAUUGUGACCAAAAUCUUCGGUUGCCAUCUUACUCCAGCAGGCUUCUGAUUCUUCAUACUCCGUCGUUAACCAACCGUACGAUAAUCCUCGGUGUUGUCUUCCUACAUAAGUUGAUUAUUGGCGACAUAGAUUCUUCUUUUCUGUUAGGACGUCUUCAAUUCUCUGUUCCGUCUAGAUCUACCAGGAAUUAUCGUCCCUUAUUUCUAUCUACGUGCACAACCGAUUACACCAUGCACAAAUCUUUUCGGGUGCUAUGUAAAAUUUACAAUAGUUUACUCCCAAAUAAAAUCGUUGCUUUCAGGAUUCCUUCGGGAACUCACUGACCAUUUCCAUAGCUUGCUGGACAGGCUAUAAACUUCUCCCACCGGGUCGGUUAUUUCCUAUGAGUAUUUCUUUAUAGUUAAAAUUUCCUUACCUUACUUAAAGCCUCUUUAUUUUUUUGUUAAUGCAUUUCCUAAAAUAAUUUAGUAAAUUAAGAUUAAUUUUAAUAUUUACUUAAGAACUCUAUUUUCUCUACUAACACCGCCCUUUUUACCUGCAAGGGCAGAACUGGCCGGACGGGAAAAUAAAACACUUCCAUCGGUCGGUGAUGCUAUUAGAAAAUUGUGUAUUCUAAUUAGGAUUUUAGAAUUUAAUUUUCAUAAUUUGAUGUAUAAAAUAACUAGGCAGACAUUUGAUUUUGUCGCCCAUUUAUAAAUAAAUAAAUAAAAUGCUGCAA